rnacentral:rRNA from 1 species
AUGAGGUGCUGCGGCGGUGGUGGUGUGAUCCAAUUUGGACUAGGUUGUGCCAAUCCUGUGGCAGGGAUGGAGUUGUGUGACAAUACGGACGAGAGUCUUACCUGUUUCCGGUCGGUGCCAGUGGCGGCGCUCGUGGGUGUCGUUUUCCUCCUUGGAGGUGUCACCGAGUGUGUUGGCUCUUCCUCGCUCUCACUUGGGGUUGGGGUUGGUAGUUAUCUCCGGGUGAAAGCCUUGGGUCAGAGUCAGAUCGGCGCGAUGGCGGUGUUUUCGACGUUGUUCCUCUGUUGGGAGCAUCGUGUUUGGAGACACUACCUGAGGUUCUAUGUGGCACUCCUCCGGUGCUCCUCAUUGUCCAAGGAUGAGCUUUAG